rnacentral:tRNA from 1 species
GUCAGGAUAGCCGAGUGGUCUAAGGCACUGCGUUCAGGCCGCAGUCUCCUCUGGAAGCGUAGGUUUGAGUCCCACUUCUGAUA